CAAAAAAUAGCUUAUUACUCAUAGCAAUAGCAAUGGCUGGAGUAUCACCAUUUUUGCACUAAUUUCUGCGCCCCAAAUCAUAUGGGACAAUGUGAAGAAGGGCAGAUGACACCCGCAUGUGCACUAAGGUGUAUUACAAAUGAAGAACCCUGAGCUUAGGGAGCCCAAAUCUUUUAUAAUGGGCAGUAAGUCUGGCUGCCUUAGCGCCAGUGGGAGACAUUGUUUUUAUGAUACUGGACAGUAAUCAAACCUGCCCUUUCCUCUGGAGGGAACGCAAUUUUUCUCUUCCAAGGCUGUUUGCUAAAUUAAUAUCCUUGAAAAGAUAUUCCAGAACAAAAGGAAUCUGUGUCUCUGUUGGUAAGAGACACAGAUAUGCAGGAGACUUAUGGAGAAUUGUCUCCUAACACCACCAGAAAUAUUUAGUCAGCAUUUGGUUUGAAAGGGGCACAUGGCACAGUGCUCAGGAAAAUCAUCUGGUCUUCAAUCCUGUAAUGGCCAAACAGAACAUAAAGACAUGUCAAACGUAUGGACUUUUCCACAUCACCUUUCCUGGAAAGCACUUGUUUCCUAUUCAGGGGUCACGGACACAUUUGGCAGCAGAGAGCGGAGAGCGAUGCCACUGGACUUGUGUCUGCAUCACUUGCUGCCUGGGAACUGUUCUGCCAACCUGCCUUCUGGGCUCCCGCAGAAGGAUCUAACAUUUUUGAGUAAUUAUGAAAAUAUGGCUGUUGAAUCUAAGAGUCAAGACGGUAACUGAUUCCCAGCUGUAAUCUAGUAUAAUGCCAGGGAAAUCAGAUGGGAUCCUGGCUGGUUUCCACUUCCUGAGGCUUUUUAUUCUGAGUUUAUUUUUAAGACUAAUUAUCCUCACCUACAUAAACUUCCUGGAUUCCAGAAUACGUAAUUGGCUGGUCAAGUGUCUCUGCUAUCCAGAUGAGAGUUACCUAUCACGCAUCCUCAAAGGGACCCAAAAUUUGGACCAGAUGCCACCCAUUCAGAUGUGACAAGAGGAACAGAAGCGUUAAAUUGUGGCAGUAUUGGCCAACAUGUGUAGCUCAUUGUUGCAAACAAGUGCUCAGCCAAUGGAGUGGCAUAUUGUCAUUGUGACCCAUAACUGUUGGAAGAGUUCCAGAAAUGACAUAAGGAAUUAUGCAUUAAUACAGAGCAGGUGGCAGGUAGGUACCCAAGAAGAAGAUCAUAGCUGGGUGCUGGCAACAUGAAGAUCUUUGAGGACGUGACAAGAGCAGCCUCCGCAGUGUGAUAGGAAAUGAAACCUGAGCGCAGCGAGGGGGGCAGAGAUGUUGAAAUGAGAAAGUCAUGACAACCUCCACAGAUACCUCUUUCCAGAGGCUUUGCUGUGAAGACUGAAACAACUGGGAACUUAUGUGGGAUGAAGAGCUGCCUCCAGUGGUCUCGGCAGUGUCUCAAGUCUCCUGUCGGGUAGAUUCUUGCAGAAUGAGGCUGGAAGUGCCACUCAGAGGAUCUGAUUCUAACCUCUGCAUAAGCAAAAACCCAGGCCUUGUGUUCCUCAAUUGGAGCCUGGGCUCUCAUAUGCCACUUAUUUUUUCUUAAGUGGAGCAAAGAUUGUGUCAAUAAAAGCAAAGAACACUUGUUUCAUAUAUAUUUAAAGCUGACGAGUACUUUGUAUAUCACAUUAAGUAGGAAAUUGCUCCAG
rnacentral:lncRNA from 1 species